CCCUUAGAUGUCCGGGGCCGCACGCGCGCUACACUGAAGGAAUCAGCGUGGCUUUCUCCCUGACCCGAAAGGGUUGGGAAACCCGUUGAAUCUCCUUCGUGAUAGGGAUUGGGGCUUGAAAUUGUUCCCCAUGAACGAGGAAUUCCCAGUAAGCGCGAGUCAUAAGCUCGCGUUGAUUACGUCCCUGCCCUUUGUACACACCGCCCGUCGCUACUACCGAUUGAACGGUUUAGUGAGGGCCUCGGAUUGGUCUCGGCCCGCUCUUUACCGGGCGGCGCCGUUGCUCGAGAAGACGCUCGAACUUGAUCGUUUAGAGGAAGUAAAAGUCGUAACA
rnacentral:rRNA from 1 species